rnacentral:piRNA from 1 species
UAGUCCAUUAACUUACAAAAC